GCCUCGGUGGUGUAAUGGUAGUAGCACGCGUCCCGGUAUGGACAAAACGCGGGUUAGAUUCCCGCCUGAAGUC